CAGAGAAAGAGUCAAGCAUAGAACCC
rnacentral:piRNA from 1 species